rnacentral:tRNA from 1 species
AUCUUGAUAGCUUAAUUUUAGAGCAUAGCAUUGAAGAUGCUAAGGUGGUAAACAUAUCUUAAGAUAC